GGCAGUUAUUCAUUAGCAAGUCUGAAUAUGAAUAUUGUUUGAGCCAUCAACUGCCAGAAGCCCUUAAUGACACGUUCAGCCAGGGGACAGUCUAAUUCGAGAGGCACGAAGCCUCCCCCCCAAUAUCCCAUCAGCACUCCGCUGUUGUCACGGCACCUUCUGAGAGCUGUGCUCUUUGGGAUCACUCCUAGUUGUACAUGACAGUCUUCAAAUAGCUGGAUCAGAAUGGUCUAUGUCACCUGCCAGGAGGAGUGUUAUUACUACUGACUCCUGGGCUUGAUAGCAGACACUGAGUGCCCUUAAAUUAAUUCACCUUUAGACAAAUUUCAUAGUGUUUAAUGGGAUGUACAAUGCCACGCUUUGCAUUUCAGAAGUGGCCUAGAAAAUUCUUUGGGGGAUUCUGAAAUUCUCUAUUCCUGUGACCUCAGAAAGAGCGCUGGGCUGUGAGGUGAGCCCCGGUGGGAGGACCCAGCCUGACCCCAGCAAGCUCUGCGCUUCUUCCUCCCUAACAUCUCUUGCCGAUCCUCACAACAAAAGUCCUUUUAAUCACCUGGGCAACGGUUCAUGGAACACUGAAUGUAAAAAGCCAAGACUUGAACCAAGGCCAUCUUCCUCCAGGUACCUCUAAAUAUAUGAUUUCCAGUGGACAAGGAUGUGGUUUUCAGCAGUUGUCUAUAUUCAGACAAAGAGUCAAAUUUGGGCAAUUCAGGUAAGUGCAAAAUUUCAGCUAAGUAGUCAACUCAGUGUUAUAAGGAAAAUGCCCUGGAUCUGGGAGAAAGAGCUCCUGAGUU